ensembl:lncRNA
GACCAUGAGCGGGUUGACCCAGCACCUGAGGUCACUGCGAGCAGUCAGCAGAGCCCGCCUGAGGACAAUGGCCAGCUUGAAGAUCCUCAUGUAACACUUGGCAAUCAGAAGGCACCCUGUGAUGUUGCACCUGCCAGAGCUGCUACAUCAAGUCAUGUGACUUAUGAGAACCCUGGGUGUCUUCAAGGAUCGUUUGACCAGAGCAGCCACAUCUUCGGGGAAAAUGCAGGUAAGCAGUGUGGCAUACUACAAAUGGCAUAGCGGCGAUUAUGACUCACGCCACCCAUAGCGUUCUCAAAUGGAAAAAAAAAAACAUUCAUCAUAUUCUAAAACAAGGUAAUGGCUUGUACACAUCUAUGCUAGAAAAUAAGGAAAUCCGUUCAGCCAACACCACUGGGUAUAUUUUCAUUUCCGAGUUACCCAGACACUGCAAAUUAAACAAUAAAUUAUUUAGUUUGGAAUAUUUUGAUACACUCACUGGAAGUCUUGAUCGAAAGGAUGAUUAUGACGCUUCUAUGCAAAACAUAGCCAUGCCUUUAGAAGAGGCUAUUCAGAAGACACUGCUGCAGACAGACACAUGCUUGCUCAACAUCCAAGAAAGUGUCUGUGCCGUUUUCAAGGUCGAAACUGCUUUUGCAGUUUUCGAUCCUGUUGGGCAAAAUAACCUGCUGAGUACAUCACAUGUACAUUAUAAAUAUAGCUAACUCCUACCCUAGCUUAAUGAGCACAUCACAUGGCAGUCACCUUACAAUAUAGUCAACUUUUAACACAUAACACAUACAUGAGAAUAUAGUCAGGUCAAGGCCGGAGCCGAAGGCCCCAUUUCCCAGGCUGGCAGAUGGUAGACACUCAGACAAUGCACCAGUCAUCCUCAAGAACGGGAGGACCACAACAGGAGACACUUUGAAGCUCUCCCCCGUUAUCUGCCCAUACCAAGGGCCUGAGAGACACGAGGAGCUCUCCCCCGUUAGGAGGCAUACACAGCAGGGCCUGGGAGCCAAGGUCAAGUAAAACACACAGAACCACACACAUCUCAAACGCACACACCUCAUCACGAGGAAGAUACAGCAUAAGACUGUAUCACACAGAGACUCUUCACCUUCUUCUGAAGCAGACCUUCCACGGAGGCGAAGCUCCGGACGAACCAUCAGCGCUGAUUAGGGACUUAGACAUAUUCGAUUUCUCACGCUUAUGACUCUGUAUAACCGUUGCCACUUUACUUAAUAAAUCCAAGGUCCUCGUGCCGAC